CUUGCUUCUCUUGAGAGCGGCGGACGGGUGAGUAAUGCCUAGGAAUCUGCCUGGUAGUGGGGGAUAACGUUCGGAAACGGACGCUAAUACCGCAUACGUCCUACGGGAGAAAGCAGGGGACCUUCGGGCCUUGCGCUAUCAGAUGAGCCUAGGUCGGAUUAGCUAGUUGGUGGGGUAAUGGCUCACCAAGGCGACGAUCCGUAACUGGUCUGAGAGGGUGAUCAGUCACACUGGAACUGAGACACGGUCCAGACUCCUACGGGAGGCAGCAGUGGGGAAUAUUGGACAAUGGGCGAAAGCCUGAUCCAGCCAUGCCGCGUGUGUGAAGAAGGUCUUCGGAUUGUAAAGCACUUUAAGUUGGGAGGAAGGGUUGUAGAUUAAUACUCUGCAAUUUUGACGUUACCGACAGAAUAAGCACCGGCUAACUCUGUGCCAGCAGCCGCGGUAAUACAGAGGGUGCAAGCGUUAAUCGGAAUUACUGGGCGUAAAGCGCGCGUAGGUGGUUUGUUAAGUUGGAUGUGAAAUCCCCGGGCUCAACCUGGGAACUGCAUUCAAAACUGACUGACUAGAGUAUGGUAGAGGGUGGUGGAAUUUCCUGUGUAGCGGUGAAAUGCGUA
rnacentral:rRNA from 1 species